UCCCCACGGGUUUCUUGCCCGUGCCGGACUUGGAACUGGGCGCCUGCCGACUCGGCUCGCCUCAAAUGACUUAGUGGGACUCUCUGACCCAAUGCCCGACGUAAUAAGUUUCGUCCAGGCCGGUGUCUCCGAGCUGCUCACAACCACACAUACCUUUUGACAUUGACCUCAAAUCAGGUAGGACUACCCGCUGAACUUAA
rnacentral:misc_RNA from 1 species